CCUACGGGUGGCUGCAGUGGGGAAUAUUGGACAAUGGGCGAAAGCCUGAUCCAGCCAUGCCGCGUGUGUGAAGAAGGCCUUCGGGUUGUAAAGCACUUUCAGUGGGGAAGAAAGCCUUGGGGCUAAUACCCUCGAGGAAGGACAUCACCCACAGAAGAAGCACCGGCUAACUCCGUGCCAGCAGCCGCGGUAAUACGGAGGGUGCGAGCGUUAAUCGGAAUUACUGGGCGUAAAGCGCGCGUAGGCGGUCUGAUAAGCCGGUUGUGAAAGCCCCGGGCUCAACCUGGGAACGGCAUCCGGAACUGUCAGGCUAGAGUGCAGGAGAGGAAGGUAGAAUUCCCGGUGUAGCGGUGAAAUGCGUAGAGAUCGGGAGGAAUACCAGUGGCGAAGGCGGCCUUCUGGACUGACACUGACGCUGAGGUGCGAAAGCGUGGGUAGCAAACAGGAUUAGAUACCCCGGAGUC
rnacentral:rRNA from 1 species